GAUGAACGCUGGCGGCGUGCCUAAUACAUGCAAGUCGAGCGAUCAGACGAGGAGCUUGCUCCUCUGACGUUAGCGGCGGACGGGUGAGUAACACGUGGAUAACCUACCUAUAAGACUGGGAUAACUUCGGGAAACGAUAGCUAAUACCGGAUAAUAUAUUGAACCGCAUGGUUCAUUAUUGAAAGACGCUAUUGCUGUAACUCAUAAAUGACUCCCCUCCGCAUUGGCUAUUUGGUAAGUUAAGGGCUUACUAAGGCAACGUUGCGUAGCCGACCGAAAGGGGUGAUCGGCCACACGGGAACUGAGACACGGUCCAGACUCCUAGGGGAGGCAGAAGUAGGGAAUCUUCGGCAAUGGGCGAAAGCCUGCCGGAGAAAGCCCGCGUGAGUGAUGAAGGUCUUCGAAUCGAAAACUUCUGUUAUAGGGAAAGAAGAAAGGUGUAAGGAACUAUGCACGUCGUGACGGUACCUAAUCAGAAAGCCACGGCUAACUACGUG
rnacentral:rRNA from 1 species